rnacentral:ncRNA from 2 species
AUACGGUGCCAGUGCCGUGGUGUUCGGGAAGCCGGUUCGAUGCCGGCGCGGCCCUCGCCACUGUAACCGUCGAGUUGACGGCCCUUGCGGUGCUCACCCCUGAGAACGGGGAGGGCGCCGGACCACUGGGAGAAGUCCCGGGAAGGUCGGCCAGAGACGCUGAGACGGAAGCCAGGAGACCGGCCACGGCGCGUCAUGUUCC